rnacentral:tRNA from 1 species
GAAUAUAGUUUAAACAAAUUCUAGCUUGUGAUGCUAGAGAUGAAGAUUAAUUAUCUUCUACUCACC